rnacentral:rRNA from 1 species
UACGUAGGGUGCGAGCGUUGUCCGGAAUUAUUGGGCGUAAAGAGCGUGUAGGCGGCCCGAUUAGUCCGCUGUGAAAGUCCAGGGCUCAACCCUGGAAUGCCGGUGGAUACUGUCGGGCUAGAGUCCGGAAGGGGCGAGUGGAAUUCCUGGUGUAGCGGUGAAAUGCGCAGAUAUCAGGAGGAACACCAGCGGCGAAGGCGGCACUCUGGGCCGGUACUGACGCUGAGGAGCGAAAGCGUGGGGAGCGAACAGG